CAACAAUGCAGAAGAACUUUGGAUGAUUGUCCAGGCAGCCAGCUGUCUCUGUCAUUUCCAGAGUUUUGUUUUGGAAGUUGCUUACAAUGCUCUUCCUGUUUACUUAGGUUAAACAUAUUGAACUGAACACCUACUGACAAGCACUAUGGGAGAACACUGAAAAUCAGAUAGAAAUAUAACUGAAAUAAGGAAACGAGAUGCUGACUAGUUGGUACAGCAAAUGAAAAGCAUUAAAGAAAACACAACUGGAUACAAUGCAGAGAUCAAUGAAUCAUAGUGACCCCAGCCUCAUUGAAUAUAUUGACAUCACAGCUUCUGCAUCCAUGGCCCAGGAAACAUCACAGAGGAGGAAGUGAAAAUAUUACAAGAGCCAGAAUAUCAGGAAUUUAGCUGUAAGACUGUCUCUCCUAAAAAUGGCUGCAUAAAUAGGACUUGAACAAUGUCAAUAUCAAUAGACAUGCUAAGAUGGAAGGGGAAAUUUUUAUCGUGCCCUACCCUACACAAAGAUGUACAGGCAACUAAUGACUGCUGAGAGAGGGAGAAUCGGCACUUUCAGGGAUGAACAUCCUAAUUGGCAGCCCCCAAACCACAUACACACAAACAAUAAAAAUGGAUUCAGUAA